AUGAACUGAGAAAGCGGUUCCUGGAAGGCACUCGUGAGAUGGCCUUAUUAGAGCUGGUGCCGUCUGCAAGCCAGGAAGACCACGUGUGCGACCCCGGCAGCAAUGGUUGCAACCUGUGGAGGCCUGUGAACCACACAUCCGUGAGGAGGAAAGAGGAAAUGGACGGAGAUAUUAAAAGGAGCCUUAUUAUAAGGAAAUGAAGACCCAAAGAGAUGACUGAACCUCAGUAUCUUUAUGCUGGGUUUGAUGAAGAGUGGACAGUCACAGAGACACAGGAUAGGUCAGAGUGUGAGUUGCUCCAGCUUCCCCAUACCAGCACCCUCCAAUCAAGGCGCACCAGAGUCCUUCUCUUCUUCACUCUAACCGUUUACAUCCCACUUCCCGCCUUUGUA